GAUGGUUUAGCCCGGUUGCCUAGGAGACCGAGAGUAACACCCGUGGCGAAGCCCGCGAGCAGCGCUAUGGCCACGUUAGCCCGGCUGCAGGCCAGGUCCGCGAGUGUAGCCCGCCAGUACUACUACAGAAACAGUGUUGUCGAUGUAUUUCGAAAAAAGGAGAAUGAUGCAGCGGUUAAAAUCCAGAGCUGGUUUCGAGGAUGUCGAGUUCGAGCAUAUAUCAGUUAGCAUAUUACACUAUGAAGAUGAAUCUCUACAAUGCAAUGGCUGUCAGGCAUGGAGAUCACGCCCUGUUUACAAGGUUACCCCGAGAAUUAAAGGAGUUGGCAGUUCGCAUAAUGCCUGGACAUUCAUGGGUCUCUAUUCAGAGGCGGUGGCGAGGUUACAAGAUUCGGAAAUACUGCUUUAAUUAUUACUAUUUGAAGGCGUACCUGAAAGCUGUUUCAGAGACCAAUGAAGCCGUUAGGGAGGCACUGGAGGAGUUUGCAGACAUGAAAGAAAGGGAAGAGAGGAAAGCCGACCUCGAAAAGGAAGAGAAGAAAAGAGAUUACCAAGCCCGAAAGACGCAUUACCUCCUCAGCACAAAGCAGAUUCCAGGAGUAUACAACUCACCAUUCAGAAAGGAGCCUGACCCACGGGAGCUGAGGUUACAGAAGGCGAAGCCUUUAACGCACCCAAGACCUAAAGUGACACCCAAGCGCUCUGCCAGCCUUCGAAACUGGCUCGAGUGCACCAGGGCCCGGUCCUUUCCUCGAUCUGCGGUUCUGCCACCCAUCGACAGGAAACCGUGUCAGGGACCCUUCCGUGACAUCGCGGAAGUCUUGGCGCAGCGCUACAAGCCCCUGGAGCCGACGCUGCGGGUGGCAGAACCCAUUGAUGGUCCCAAGGAGGCCAGAGCCGAGCUCCAGAGGCAGGAAUGGACGCGAAAUGUGCAGGACAAUCUGUUUUUGCCGUUUUCUUCCUACCAUAAAAGUAAAAAGCACAUCCCGGCAAUGCAUUUAUCAAGCAAGUAUGGUCCUGAUUCUUACGGAAGCCGACAUUUCCGAGAAAAAAAUCCUGAGAGAUGGAUCUGUGACAAGGAUUUCCAAACUGUGUUACCAUCAUUUGAUCUCUUCUCCGAGUAUGGAAAAUUAUAUUCAAAAGCUGGACAAAUUGUAUAAAGGGUGAAGUUGGUUUUGUGGCUGUCUUGCCACCUUUUUCUCCUUCUGGGCUGUCAGACUUCUAAGGAGACCUGGAGGGAGAAAGCUUGAAGAACUUGUUAGUCCACAGCUGCCUCCCUGUCGAGGAUGGCAUUUGGAGCUGUAAUAAGUGUUGAAACCUUAUUGUGUUUAAAUGAGCUAAGAUAUGUGAGCCACCAUCAGCAAUAACUACCUUUGAGAGCAUCCUAGAUACUGCAUCCCUAGAUAGUCUCAGGAUUGGAGCUGGUCAUCAAGAAGAGCAAACCUUGAUUAGAGCUUGGAACUUUCAGCUUCAUCCUCAACCUCAGAAGAGAAGAAAGGAGAAAGAAAGACUGAACGCUCACUCAACAGUUCAUCGCACACUGAAGAGCAUCCUUCAUCCAGGGUCAGUAUUUACCUUGUUGAAAGCGGGGCCAGCACUUAGCAACUUCACUGUGGUCCAGAAGGAGGUUCACCAAUGGGUAACUGUGGAAUCUGUUAGUUAGGAUGGAUAUCUUAGAACUCUUGAGGUCAAGGCCCAGGAAAUUGUCAGUUCCUACCAAUGUUUUGUAUUGGGGGGGGGUGGCUGCAUUUUUUACAGAAAACUAGACAGAGUUAGGCAGUGAUUUUGAUUGGUGAUUUGCAGUGGAAAUUAUUUCCUCUUAGACUGAAACUAUGUUUAUGACUAGACAUUUCUUCAUAGUGGUUACAGGUUCCUUAAAAAACGUUUUCAAAACAUUGGAAGUAAUUUGACUACACAACCACAUUUUGAACUUUCCCAGAAAAAUUAAAACAAACAAAAACCAAACUGUUAGGCUGUUAACAUUUCUAUAUGUCUCUAGGCAAAAAAAAAAAAAAAGUUUUCCCAUGAAAUCCAUUGUGUCUAAAGCAGCAUUUACAAGAUGGCAAAUACUGGAUUAAGAGGAAAAUCCUGUUAUCUGAAGGUUUAAUCAUAUAACGCCUACAUCAGCAUAAUGGAAAAUAGCUGAUAAUUGGCCAGAUGUUUGGCUUUUCAUUUGAUCGGUUGUUUUCAAAUUAUUUUCUACCCCAACACACCUGAGGGUAGCAACACACCCCAUCAGUUAGAGUAAUUCUCAAGGGGAGAGGGGGCCUGUUCAGCUCCGGGGGGAGGGAGAGGGUUGGAAAAAGCCCCUCAGGUGACUCGGCAAUGUGCCCCUGGGGCACCAUCAUGUGGCAAAGACUAAGUAGAAAUGAGGCGUUUUAUGAGUGAGCUGUUUCAGUGGCAUCGCACUGAAAAUGACAUCAUCAAUUAUGGUAUUUAAGUCUUCCAUUUUGCAAAGAUAAAAACUAGACCGAUUUUAAGGCUUGGUUUACAGGAGCAGAGACAGAAAGCUCAUCAAGAAGGACUGGAGGGUAAGUGAUCCGUUUGGACGAUGGAGUGAGACUCUUGAGACCAAACUGCUGUCCUCAGUCUCUCUCUAUGGCACUUCGGGGGGUGGGGAGCACCGUGGUACUUAUUUAAGCAAAGCACCGCUUCCGGCCGGAUCUUACUUCUCUAUUAAUUCAAUCCACGUGCAUCCCGUCCUCGCACCUACGGAGUUUCACAACUCCACGUUGCAUAGCCCCGUAAGUUGUCAGUUCCUUGGGUGGUAAAAAAAAUCUUGAAUUGCUCUCAAAAACUGGGUCAAUAGAUGCAUUUCAGCGUUAGGCAUGUAAAACCAAAUGCAAGCCAGUUUUAAAUUUAAAAAGUGAAUUUUCCUUAUACUUUUUUUUUUUUUUGGAAAAGCCAUGCCAUCCACUGUUUUCCAGUUCCGCAUUCUGUAUAUUUGUUUAAAUCCGUAUUAUAUACAUGUAGCUCCAUACCCGUGGUAUGCAGACACACCCAAUUUAACCAUAUUAAACCAAAGAUUAAUGUCCAGAAUUAGGUGACUAAUAUACCACAUGAGCUUGGCCAUUUAAUUAAUAUCAAAUGUUCAAACAUAAAAUAAAAUAUAAGAACUCUUACCCUCACUUUAACAUAUAAUUUACCUAGACAAUUAAGAAAGAUGGAAUCACAGAAGUAUAAUGAGCUUAUAGCCCCUGUUCUCUUUACCUUGAUUAAUUGUUUUGUUCCUGACCAUGCCUGGGUAGGUUCCCAAUUUCUGAGGGCCAAUUGUAUAUAUAUCCAAAUGUGAAGGUCUUUCUUGUUUCCUGUGACUCCGAAGAAAAAUGGGCACAGCCACAUCAAUGAAACCUGGAAAGGAUUAUCAGUUAGCUCCAGAAAUAACCUUGACACCUUCCAAUUGCAAAAUCCACCUGCAAGCUUUAGUGAUAGGCAUGGAAGCAAGAUGCUUUCCAAAAAUUAUUCCUCAGAAAAGUGAGUCACCUUAUUUUUGAAGGCUUGAGAGCUUUAUCAUGUCCAAGUUUACUCUCAAUUACUUCAUUUUGAAAAGUAACAUAUUGAAGAAAAAAAAAAUGAACAGCUUUAAAUGACCUCAAUUAAUGUUAUUGGUGGAAAUUGCUAAGAAGAAAAAAAGUGUCUAAGGAAUAAAGCAGGUUAGCAAUUAUUCUGGGAGUAUAGACCACAAUUGCUAGUAUUGUUUGUCAUUAUAUUUGAGACUUUUAAAGGUCACUUUAAAACAAUACCUCCCUGUGAAGAACACUAAUGUACACAUGCGAACGUAGAAAACCAAAAAGCUAGCCAAACGUAAAACGCAUGGUCGCUAUGGCAUGGAAUAGUCUUUUUAGUGACAUUAUCAUAUAUAGAUCUAAAGGUGCUAUCUCUCAAACAGAUUAGAAGAAAGUGCAAGGAAAACCACUGUAACUCUGAUGACAAAUGAGGCUCACUGGUGAUAAAGACACCGGUAUCAAAGAUGCAAGGAAAAAAAUUUACCUAAAACUGAGGUGUGAAAUGUGACAAGAGCCAAAGCGUUCAUUUUGAAAACUGGUAUAUUACUCUCUACGUUUGUAUAUAUCUAAAGAAAAUUAUAUAAGUAGAUUUUGAUUAUUCCAAAGGUACCUCAAAAUUAUUUAUUUCCAAGUUCAAUAGUUGUUUUAAAAAUCUUAACAAUGGGAUGAAUGAAUCCCGCCCUCUAGUUGGGUUCUCAUUCUGUGGGGGUGCAUAUGGUAUUAGGUUCAUACCUUUAGGUUUUAAAGUUAGGUGUGUUAACCUGUGCUUGGCUCAAAGAAGUUAUUUGUUCAGUUUAAACACUACACAUUAUUAUUAUUUAUCAUUUAAUAGUUAUUUCAUGUGAAUUGCAGGAGCUGGUUAUACCUCUUUUUUUCUUUUCUUUUCUGUUACCUUUGCAAGUAUAUGUUAAGUCAUUGUAGUCAGAAGAUAAUAUGUUGGUCACUUGGAAUUUUAAGGUUUAUAAUAUGAAAUUUUUUCGUGGUGGUACAUGAUCAGAUUUAGCAAAUAAAAUAAGAAUGCCUGGUGAAAUUUCAAUCUCAGCUAUCCCAUGAACAGUGUUUUUGGAAUAUGUUUGUCCCAUGAAAUACAUGGGACAUACCUUUAAGUUUCAGUUAAGUAUGUUAAGCUGUGCUUGACUCAAAUAAGUUAUUUGCUCAACUUAAAAACAAAGCAUUAUUACUUGUCAUUUAAUAAUUAUUUCAUGUUCAUUGUAAUAGCAGGCUGUAUCUAUUUUUUCUUUUCUCUUGUUAAAAAAAAAUCAGGAGUUCCCGUCGUGGCGCAGUGGUUAAGGAAUCCGACUAGGAACCAUGAGGUUGCGGGUUCGGUCCCUACCCUUGCUCAGUGGAUUAAUGAUCCGGCGUUGCCGUGAGCUGUGGUGUAGGUUGCAGACGCAGCUCGGGUCCCAGGUUGCUGUGGCUCUGGCGUAGGCUGGCAGCUACAGCUCCGAUUCGACCCCUAGCCUGGGAACCUCCAUAUGCCACAGGAGCGGCCCAAGAAAUAGCAAAAAGACAAAAACAAAAACAAAACAAAACAAACAAACAAACAAAAAAUCAGCUGUUUAUCUGAAAUGUAUAUUUAACUGGUUGUCCUGUAUUUUACCUGGUAACCUUUUCUAGAGCGAAUUAAGAACUGAUUUGCUAUAUUUAAAAAGUUGGAGUGGGGGACACUGUGAGUAGGGUUUUCAGUAUGCCAAUUUUAGGCGCACAUUGAUUUUCCUGACUCAAAACAUGGACCAAUGGGCCCAAGGUGGGCUUGUCUGACUGACUCAGUACGUACGACAUCCAUUCCAGAAUAACCCCAUGCUCUGUCUUCUCUCCCACGGUUGACAUUUAUAUCUUUGCCUCUCGCUUCGUAGAGCUGUUUCAGACACAAAUGGCACGAAGGGUAUGACAUCCGACAGAGCGACGUUGCAGGAUGCUAGUAGCACAAGCGGUUGGGGGGGAUGUGUUAUCCCAGUGAUGGAAUGCGCCGUCCAUUCUUGUCAUCUUUCCAGCCUUCGCGGAAGGUUUUUCAACAAGGGGACCACGUAGGACCUGGUGUUACUUCUGCGCAACCUCGGCGCCCUUUACUGUGGCACAUACGUGAUAAAGGUUCCCCAGGGAGUGUUCCGCAGGAGUCCGCAGCGCGCAUUUUCCGUGCAAUUUAUUCCUACCCAGUGGGCACCUCAACGUCCUUUGUGUGUAGGAGCCACGUGUGUUCCAGCCAUAAAGAGCAGAGGAGGUCUCUUUUCUCCCCCACGCUUGCAGACCUUGGGCCUCAGACCCAUUCGUCCCCCCUUUGGAACCACUGACGGGGGCUUGGGCGCCAGGACAAAAGUCCCACUACUCCAGAUAGUCUGUGAUUGGUUAACUAGACAAAGCCCAACAGGUCAGGUGACCCAUUUUUGCUUUUUGACAGUGCGAGUCAAAGUACUUAACUUCAAUCACGAUCUCAUUUACCCACCCCACCCCCUGCCCCCCCAAAAUAAAAAGCAUGACAGUGAACACUAAUAUGAUGGUAAUUUCAUAUUGUUUCUGCUUAUGAAUUUGUCUUUCCCUUAUUAAUCAUCCAAUAAAGUACUGACACUGCAGAAUCCUGACGUGGCUCAACAAACCAUGGCCUAAGGACAGUAGCACCCUGAAGGAAGAGGCUCCCGGCGAACUGGAGAAGCGCAAAGCUUUUAUUAACACCAGAGGACCAUUAGACGGCUCUCUGUUCACCUUCAGUGGAGCAAUAAAUGAAGAGAGCUUCACCGGAGAGGACUCCUACUGUCUUUGUGCCGGUAAUGCCCAGCCAAGCUGUAGUCAUGUUGUAACGCUUGUAAGAAACAGAUGUUCCUUCCCUGACAAAUCUCCUUUCUUGAUUUAUUAUUCAUUUGCUCAAAUCACAAUGGAAAGUCUUUGGCCCAUUAAUUAAAUUCCAAGCAAAAUAAAAUUUGCAGCAGAACUCAUUACUGGUAAAUGACUUUGACACUUCAUCAGAUUUGAAGGUAAAAGAGGCGACUUCAGGAAGUGAAAGGUGGAGGGAGCCUAGGCCUUUUCUGCAACCACUGCAAGAUGAUAAAGAUUGUGAUGAAAUUUUUAUGUUAAGUACUGAUCUUGGAAAGUUCAAUUUUCUACAUGCCCCCCCCCACAGCCCAAUCCAUUCCCCACCUCCUUCCCCCCCUACCCCCCACCUCCCACUGUGAUAUACUUUCUGGCUUCCUUUAAAGGAAAGUCUGAAGGAGACGCUUAGAUUUCAAAUAUAUUUAUGAAUGUGGGUAUCAUGUCUUGUUCCAAACACUAAGGCACUUUUUUUUUCCAGUAUGCAGAGAAGCUUGACACAUUGCAUGUUUGAUGUCUUACCUUUUGAAUCAAGGUCCAGGGGAAAUCUAACAAAACCAUGAGCUGCAGCAUGAUCAAGGAAUCAGAACUAGGACUUAAGAACAGAGCAGAGGAAAUUUUGAUAUCCUGAUCCAAAUAGCCACGAUUAUUUUCUACACCGAAGCAAAAAUGUUAGAAUUUCAAGCCGUGCGUGGAUUAUGCCCAAUCACAAGCAACUCAAAGGGAAAGAAGACACAUGCUUCCAGAAGAAAGGCAGAACGUAUGGUUUUCUUUGGAAAUUGUAUACGCAUUGAAAAAGAAAAUUUGAAAAUGUGAAAAAUGAUAACUAGCUAUAAAAUGAAGUUUGCUCUGCACGGGAAGUUCAAUUCUAUUUCUGCUUACAUAAUGUUACUUGUAGGUAGGAGUCUUAUGAAUGAACUCUCUCUAGCCCCAAUAAUUCAAAUAGCUUUCCCAAUGCAAUUGUGUGUCAUGAUACUUACCUUCUGCAGUUAUUUAUCCACUAAGGACAUCAAACAUUAAAGCUAUGUUUUUUAAAGAACAUGUUACCUCUUGAAUCGAGGCCAUAGGAAGAGGAGCUAUUUAACAAAUGCAGUGCUAAAAUCACCCAUGUUAAAGAAUAAGACAAAUAAUAUAUUUUUUAUCACUCGAAUCCAAAUAUCCAGUUCUGAAAUCAGCGUAGGUGAAGCUCUACCACGUGGUAUUGUCUCUCUGCUCAUCCACCUUAUUUAUUUAUUGUCUUUUUAGGGCUGCACUUUUGGCAUAUGGAGUUUCCCAGGCUAGGGACCCAAUCGGAGCUGUAGCCUCUGGCCCAUAUCACAGCCACAGCAAUGCUGGAUCCUUAACCCACUGAGUGAGGCCAGGGAUUGAACCUGCAUCCUCAUGGAUACUAGUCAGAUUCAUUUCCACUGAGUCACGAGGGGAACUCCUGCUCAUCCACUUUAAGUAAACUUUUGUUUAUGAAACUUAGCAGAAAAUAUAAGAAAGUGAAUGAAAAACGGUGGAAAGCUUUAGGCAAAAUGUUAACUUAUUUUUAUCCUUUCAAGUACCAGGUUAUAAUGUCUAGGUGCUUAAAAUUAAGAUAAAGUACGAUUGUUGCCAGACACAGCUAAGUUUUCACAUGGACCUCAAGAUCUCAGAUGAGUAGUAUUUAAUACGUAUGUCUCAGUAACAGCCUCGAAAUGUAGACACCCUUAAUUAAAGAUCUGUGAUGACUCAGGAAGUGUCAGUGCUGAAAUUUGUUCAUCAUGUCAUACAGUGCUUGUUAUACGAAUGAAAUGCCACCAAGAGGGAAAGGCGAUGUUACCCUAUUUAGGAGAGGGAUCUGUGUUACCUGAAAAGAUUGAUAAGAUGCUUGAUAAGAUGAUGCAACUUAUUUUUACCAAAAAUUUAAGGGGAUCCACAAAGUUCCCAAAGGCAAAGAAAAACCCAAACAUAUUUUGCCAUAGACUGAAAAGUAGCAGCUACAUUUCGACUGAAACGUCCUCCUUCCUCUGGUUUGUCUCAGCCAUCCCAGUUAGACUCGCUGUCUUCAAUCUCAAUGCCUUCUCCUUGCUCUGAGAAAUGAGAACGUGAGAAACAAAGAAACCCACAUGUGAAAACAACACAGUGAAAAACACAAACAAGCCUUGGGCAAACCAAAGACCCAAAGAAAGUCCAGAGAAUGUUCUGAAGUUUAAUGACAGAGGCUGCAGGCUAGUCCUUGAUCCUACAGAGACCCGCUGCCUCUUUUGUGGUCAGACGAAGACUCUUUUGGCCUAAUGGUAGAUAAUACACUAUGCUAGAUAAUGCUAGUAGAUAUACAGAAGGCUUUAUAAAAAGGUGAAAGAAAUUAUCCAUUCUGGGAGUUCCCGUCAUGGCGCAGUGGUUAACAAAUCCGACUAGGAACCAUGAGGUUGCGGGUUCGGUCCCUGCCCUUGCUCAGUGGGUUAACCAUCCGGCGUUGCCGUGAGCUGUGGUGUAGGUUGCAGACGCGGCUCGGAUCCCGUGUUGCUGUGGCUCUGGUGUAGGCCGGUGGCUACAGCUCCGAUUCAACCCCUAGCCUGGGAACCUCCAUAUGCCGCGGGAGCGACCCAAGAAAUAGCAAAAAAGACACACACACAAAAAAAGAAAUUAUCCAUUCUGAAUCAACGUCAUAGUUUUAAUUUGAUAAACAUUCCAAAGUCCUUCUAUCAACUAAGUAACUGUCUAUUAAAGGAGUCACGUUAGUUGACUACCCACUUGCUCUAAAGACACCGCCACUGCUCAAAAACUGUAACGCUGUACGAAAUGCCUUGAGUCGUUGGUGUCAUUUAAUUAGAGUCAAGUUUCUUUUUAGACUAUGGGUGACAUUAUGCCUGUGAUGAUCAAAUUAUCCAUCCAAUUUUAAGCCUACAUGAUAUUUGGCUAUUUCCAAAAAAACCCCCAAAAAAACAAACAAAAAAACCCACAAUUUGCUGUUAAUCAGGACAUUUUUGGAUUCUUGAGGUUGUUUCAAGCAGGAGCUAUAAUGUGUUGCUGCAUUAAUGGAAUUUAUGUGUAUCUUCCCAAGGUGACAACCAGUUCUAGCUUAUUAGCUAAAAUGGCAUAUUAUAGUCACACAGAGCUCUAGACAGUAAAGAAACUGGCAUAUUGUUAGCCCUGUCCCCUUAUUUUUGUCCUAUUAAUACACUGACAGUGGACGCGUGAAUGUAACAAUGUCACAGGCCCUUUCUGCAUUUGCUUCUUCACCCUAAAGUAAAAAAUAACGGAGUUCUCUUCAUGGCUCAGUGGUUAACGAAUCCAACUAGGAACCAUGAGGUUGUGGGUUGGAUCCCUGGCCUUGCUCAGCAGGUUAAGGAUCUGGCGUUGCCAUGAGCUGUGGUGUAGGUCGCAGACAUGGCUCAGGUCCUGCGUUGCUGUGGCUGUGGUGUAGGCUCGCAGCUACAGCUCUGAUUCAACCCCUAGCCUGGGAACCUCCAUAUGCCACAGGUGUGGCCCUAGAAAAGACAAAAAAUAAAAAAAAACAAUUUCCAAAGCUUUAAAGGUGCGUAUCUAUCCUUCUAAUACCCCAGAUAAAAGCAUUAAGAGAAUGCACGGCUAGUUCUUCUUGCAUGAUGCUGUAGGUAUUUGGUACCUAAAUUAUUAGGAAAAAGUAAGGUCUUGAAGCAACCAACCAAAAAAGCACAGAUGAAAAAUUGACUUUACACACUGGAAUGAAGCGUAUCAGGAGCCGAAGUUCAGUCCAGUAAAUAACAAGGUGUCUCGAGGGUAAUUAAUUGAACAAAAAGAUGCUAAAUAAAAAAAUUGGAGAAGGAGAAGUUGGAGGUGGAGGAGGAGCAAGUAGCGGUGGAUUUUUUUUGCAGUAGGUUUGUAAAGGAGGAGGCACAGAAAAGGCCGAGACAGAAUACGCUUUCCCCCCAUGAAAUGAAAACCAUCGCUAUCAGGAUUGGUGGCCUAAUCAUAAUCUAGCGGUACCUUAGCAGCCUUUUUGUGGCUGGAUGAUUUCAUUGCUGAAAAUGGUGGGCUUCAGGCUAUGGUUAGAAGUUUUCUCGUUCUCUCCUUGGAUUCUAGCAUCUCCUUAUGACUCCACAUGGCCUCCUGGGAAAUAAACACCUUUUUAGAAGGUGGUUGUAUGAGUCAGGUAUAUGGUGCAGUACAAAUGUGUGUCCAUUACGGUAAAAAUUAUUCCAAAGGGUAAUGGAAAGCAUACUAAGCCCACUGGGGGGGCAGAUAACUGUUAUAAAAGAUUUUAUAAUCUUUAAGAUCAUCAGAUUAAUCUGUGACAUGCAUGAUAUUCAACUUAUAAGUACAAAUAACAUACUGUGGGAUUUUAGGUACGUGUUUAGGGUGACAAAUUAAAGGCAAAAGAAAGAUUAUGUUCCCUUUCAACGUGAAACAAAAUGCUACAUUUAGGAAACAUCAUAUAUUGUCCAGAAUUCUGGUUAAAUUGUUGGAAUGAUU